rnacentral:rRNA from 1 species
GAUGAACGCUAGCUACAGGCUUAACACAUGCAAGUCGAGGGGAAACGGCAUUAAGUGCUUGCACUUUUUGGACGUCGACCGGCGCACGGGUGAGUAACGCGUAUCCAACCUUCCCAUGACUAAGGGAUAACCUGCCGAAAGGCAGACUAAUACCUUAUGGUCUUCACUGACGGCAUCAGAUGUGAAGUAAAGAUUUAUCGGUUAUGGAUGGGGAUGCGUCUGAUUAGCUUGUUGGCGGGGUAACGGCCCACCAAGGCAACGAUCAGUAGGGGUUCUGAGAGGAAGGUCCCCCACAUUGGAACUGAGACACGGUCCAAACUCCUACGGGAGGCAGCAGUGAGGAAUAUUGGACAAUGGGCGAAAGCCUGAUCCAGCCAUGCCGCGUGUGUGAAGAAGGUCUUCGGAUUGUAAAGCACUUUAAGUUGGGAGGAAGGGCAGUAAGUUAAUACCUUGCUGUUUUGACGUUACCAACAGAAUAAGCACCGGCUAACUUCGUG